GGAAAAUGGGCUCACAUUUGUUAUAUAUACCUUUAGAGGGAAAGCUUAAAUUCCAUUCCAGACUCUGCUGUGUCCAUCCCAGCAGAGUCAUUGAUCACUGGAUCCCAGCAGACAGCAUUCCAGCAUCACCUGUACCCACACCCUUUAAGCAACACUCUUGUCUCUAUAUUCUACAUUAACAAGGCCUCAGCACCGUCACAGACCAGACUUCAAAAAGGCUGAAAAUCACAGUCCAGGAAACCUUUUUGAAUGGUGAGAUCAGGUAAAUACGGGAAAGGUCACAGAUUCUCCACAAUCUGGGAGGUCUUUCCCAAAGAACAUGCCAGAGGUGGUAUGGAUAAAGGAUGCAACAGCUAUCUCUUGAGAAGAAGAAGACCUCUAGCAGCUGACCUGUGCAAGAUCUGUGAGGGAAAGCAGUAGAAUGGAUGGGUUGGAAGCUCUGAGC